GACUCGAUAGCUCAAUGGGUAGAGCGGCGGUCUAGAUAUCCGAAGAUGCGUGUUCAAAUCCCGCUCGAGCCA
rnacentral:tRNA from 1 species